rnacentral:rRNA from 1 species
AGUGAACGCUGGCGGUAGGCCUAACACAUGCAAGUCGAACGGCAGCACAGGAGAGCUUGCUCUCUGGGUGGCGAGUGGCGGACGGGUGAGGAAUACAUCGGAAUCUACUCUGUCGUGGGGGAUAACGUAGGGAAACUUACGCUAAUACCGCAUACGACCUACGGGUGAAAGCAGGGGACCUUCGGGCCUUGCGCGAUUGAAUGAGCCGAUGUCGGAUUAGCUAGUUGGCGGGGUAAAGGCCCACCAAGGCGACGAUCCGUAGCUGGUCUGAGAGGAUGAUCAGCCACACUGGAACUGAGACACGGUCCGGACUCCUACGGGAGGCAGCAGUGAGAGAUAUUGGACAAUGGGCGCAAGCCUGAUCCAGCCAUACCGCGUGGGUGAAGAAGGCCUUCGGGUUGUAAAGCCCUUUUGUUGGGAAAGAAAUCCAGCUGGCUAAUACCCGGUUGGGAUGACGGUACCCAAAGAAUAAGCACCGGCUAACUUCGUGCCAGCAGCCGCAGUAA